UCUUCCCAUACCGAACAGAGAAGUUAAGCCCAUUAGUGCCGAUGAUACUGCUAUACCAAGUGGGAAAGUAGGUAGCCGCCAACU
rnacentral:rRNA from 1 species